rnacentral:snoRNA from 1 species
CCUCUUUUUCUUGGCGGCGAUCGGGCUUGCGGUCCCAGUCCAUGUAAUGUACAGAGGUAGAGGGAAAGCGCUCUGGCCCCCCCGGCGUCAUGUCUUCGGUACCAGUGGCUUCCUGUCUGCCAGUUCUAUCCUCAAGCGCUGGGAUACCA